rnacentral:rRNA from 1 species
AUGGGGACACCUGGAUCGGGAUCGGUAGGCGAGCCCGGGAGGCCAUGGACGGCGACUAGCACCUGGGCCCCAGCCGGAGGCGCGGCGGUCGAGGACGCCGUGUCGUUCGAGACGACCGAAGACGACGCCGAGACUUCCCCCGCGGCCGUCGUCCUCGCCCGCCCGCCGUCCGACGGCAGCGAGGAUCCAACUCCCUGCGAUGUUACGAUUAGUUUCACAGGAAAGUACGAGAUUCAUAGAGUGUAUGUGCGAAGCACAGCUCGAACUUAUGAAAUAUACUAUUCAACUGACCUGAAGGAUGCAAGUAAAGAUUAUCUAUGCACUGUACGCUGUGGAAUUGCUGCUCAAGAACCGCAGCCUCCUGGUGAAGAAUGUGUAUCUCAGGCAAGUAGCAAUGCUGCAACCGGCGAAAAGCAUGAACAAGAGGCCAAAAGUGUUACAAGUAGUAGUGAUGAAGAUAGCUGGGUUGAAGUCAAAAUUCCUGAGUCUCCUCUUGGAAAUUACACGCCAGAAUCUCAAGAAGAAAGGAAUGCGAUAGGAAUCUGCCAGAAAAAUACUCUGGCUCACUACGAAGCAACUGCUGAGAUAACUGAUGCAAACCCAUGUGUAUCUCUUACUGUCCGUCUUCUUUCACUUCAGUCAAAGACAUCAGUGCAUAUUGAAGAGAUCUACAUAUUUGCUGAUCUUGUUGAAUCCAGCAGUGAUGAUUCAGUAGCAGGUCCUGGAAACAUGGGAGGUAGUUCUUUGUUGGCUAUGCUUGUUCCUGGCCUUAUGCAAAUUUCCAAAUCUAGGGACUGCAAAAUAGAUGACAAAUAUUUUGCUGAGGGCUUGAAAGCCCAACUUCCUGAAGGCUGCGCGUUGAAAGAUAGCAUCCCAUGUGGAAACAUAGCGAAAGAAGCAGGGCUGUAUGGUACAAAUGAUUCCAAAUUUAGGCCAGCUGGAGUGCAGAGCAGACUACCACCUGCGCAGAGUGGUACGAUAUGUGAUGAUGAUGGCAACCAACAUGAGUUCCCGUUAAAUGAUCCCAAGCCUCUUCCAUUGCCUGUAAUAACAACAGAAAAUGUACAAGUGACACUGGCGAAGGAUAAGACAGUAUCAAAUCUGUACCCGGAGGCUAGUCCUAUUAUGAAUGAAAAUGUUACUCCGCACAAUCACAUUGAGAGAAUGCUGGAUACUCUGAUCUCUAAGGUGGAGAAGGUGGAGUUAUGUUGCUCUAGGUUUGAGGACAAAAUGAUGAGGCCCCUCAGUAGCAUUGAGGCAAGGCUUCAACGACUGGAGCAGCAGUUUGAUUCAUUCUCUGUGGAGAUUCAGUCUCUACGAAGUUCUUCUGCAAGAAUGUCAGCACCAAAUGUUUUUUCUGAUACAAUUAACUCCCAGCAAAAGGAACAUAAUGGUGGGAAUUCUGGAACUUCUGCCUCUGUGAUGAACAGGCAGCCAGGCUUGGUUAUGAGGGCACCUGAAUUUUCUUCAGAAGAUUACUCUAAUUGUGAUGUGGCUGAUGAGAAUACAGUUAAUUUACAUGGACCUAAUGUUGUGCCAAGGGUCCUUAAGGCACCUGAUUUCAUCUGUGAACCUGGGUUUAUAUGUGAGAAGCUUCAUGGUGGGCCUUUACCUGUUGAGAGAGAACGCAAGACUUCCCCAGGUCUAGUUAUCAAGGUUCCUGAAUUCCUAAAUGAUGAAGAGGAUGAAGUGGAGGAAGAUAAACAAGCAGAAGCUGACAAUGUUGAUGAUGGUCGUACAAAUUCUAAUGAUACUCUGAGCAAAAGCACUGACAACAGCUUCAAAGGCAAAACUCCUGUAUCUGUCGAUGGCGCAUUAGCGUCUGCCUUGGAGGCAUUUCUCACUUCCACCAAAGGAACAUCACCUUCAAAGUCUGUUGCUUGCACUGCCAGUAAUGUAAGUUGUGGAAAUACUGAUGAUUCCUCUAGUUCCUUCCCUUCUCAUGGACAUCUUCAUGACACAUCCACUAAAGACGACUUUCAUGGCAUCUUUGGUGACACAAAGAAGAUUAGUACCUUGAUAUCUUUUCAGGAGGUUGAUGCGGCUCCACUCAUUUCUGUAUCUAAGGCACACUUGGUUAGCAGUGUUGAGGUAAAUGGACAGAAUAUUGAUAUGAAUCCGGACAAGAAGGCAUUUGCUAGCACUGAACUGUUGGUUGUUCCUUCACAGUCUCUUACAGGAUCUAUAGAUGAUUACACUCAGGUAAAUGGGCAGAACAAUGGUCCUAGUUCGUACAUGAUUCCGCUUGUCACAAGCAGUGAACCUGUGGAUGAUCCUUCUCAGCUUGCUACACACCUCGGGUCUGUUGAUGGCGGAACUCAGGCAAAACCUCCUACCAUAUUUCAAUCUGUUGGUGAGACAGCUCAAGUGGAUGAAAGCAGACCUUCCUUACCAUUGGCAGAGUUUCUGGCGGCACGGAUUGCUUUUAGGAAUGGUACUUCUGAGGUGUGCUGUGGUGACGCUGCAAUUCCGUCCUUCCAGAGAACAUUGACAGGAGCACAUCAGAACUUGGAAGGUGGUGACAGCAAAGCGAGCCAGCAGAACCCAAUCUUCCAACUUUCGCUAUUGAAGAAAGCUUUAGAGGUUGAUGAGGGAGAUGGAAAUUUUUGUGAUGACAUAUCCAUCGAGACAACCUUUGAACCAUCAAGCCAUGCAGCUCCUGCAAAUGGUGCUAACAGGCACAGUACGAAUGCAAUGGAAACCCUGUCAGAUGAGGAUGGAGUUCUGGAGAAUACAAAGGGCAGCAUUAUGCUUUCUGGUGGGCACAGUACCAAUGCAAUGGAAACCCUGUCAGAUGAGGAUGGAGUUCUGGAGAAUACAAAGGGCAGCAUUAGGCUUUCUGGCGGGAUGGACUCUGUAUUCUGUAGCAGCUUGCACUCAGGUCCCAGGGAAAGCUCCAGAAAACCAGAGGUAGAACACUCCUUGUCAGAUUUGAGUAGUAUGGAACCAUCUGAUGGAGAUUCUUACAGAGAAGCUACUAGUUCAGGGAAUGUCGCGGCUGGAAAUCAUGUGGAAGAUCUUUUUGCGGGCAAUGGAGCUGGUCCUGAUGUAAGACCAACUGUGGGCUCACAGGAGAAUGACAUAUUGGGAAUGGCUUUCGUAUCGAAGAGAAUGAGUACAAGCAGCCCUUCUCUUGAAGUCUUGCUUGCUGAAUCAUCUGAUUCUGAAUCGCAAAUUUCUGCUGUGGAGGAGGCUGGCAGUGAUGCUGCUGGCCUUGGUUCGGAUCAUUUGUUCACUACAUUCCCAUCUUCAGAUGAUGAUGCCUUUGCCAUGGAUGGGCCUUUAUUUGACGUGGUUGAUGCGCCGGUAUCGUCAGAGGUCGAUGCUUGUGCCUCCAACAAACCCUUGCUUGAUGUGGUUGAUCUGACAAACCCUUCAGAGACAUAUACUCCUUCAGUGAACGAGCCUUUCGCUGACGUGGUUGAUCUGCCAGAGCCUUCAAGCUUGUAUGCUUCUGCGGCGGACGAGCUUUUUGCCAGUGUAGACAAUCUGCCAAAAACUUCAGAGACAUUUGUUGGAGGGAGCAGUGGAGAACAUCCUGGUAGCCUCAUCUAG